ACCACAACAUUUUGCAAAAAUUGAAUAAAUGAUCAUUCGAAGCAAAAGCAUGCAGUUCAAAAGCUAAACCUCCCAUUGGAGAACAGAAAAUUUAAUGAGCUUUUAAUGGAAUGCAAUGCUCAGAGUAGUAAAUUAUUUGUUAGUUGACGAUGCAAUCAGCAUGCUGAUUAAGGUUGCUUGGUUUUUUACUAAACAUUAACUGAAUGAAAACGGGUAGUCCUUGUUCUGCUUGGGGGGCUUUAAGGAAGCAAAUGGACUUUCAGAACAGAGCUUGUCAAUAAAGAGAAGGAGACACUGGAAAUCAGUGAAGAUAAUGGAGUUGCUCAAUGUCACAGUUAGUGGUAGAGAUGAACCUGAACCAGAAACCCAAAUCUUGUUCCAAGGCCCUUGCUCUCCAAAAUACUAAGCCACUGAACUUCAAGAUUCCAGAUCAGCAUCUGGUUUUGCAGAUACUGUCAGUCAUGGACCACUAAAUACUUGGAAACACACCUAUAGCUUUUUUUGUAGUGGAGUCAUAUUCUCAGAAGACUAUCAAAUUAUUUUCAAAUAUUAACUGCACUAACUAUUGAUAUGAACUUGGCAAGUCGCUGGACCCCUCUGUGCCAGUUUCCUCAUCUGUAAAGAGGAGAUAAUAAUAGAUCCUAUCUCAGAGGUUCAUUAUGAAAAUUAAAUUAAAAUUCAUAAUCUUCACCUCUUGUGGGGUGCAAUAUAUGGAGGGCAAAGAGCUUAAACAUUGGAAUAUGAGAUAUCUGAAGUUAGACUCUGUUAAGCUCUCUAAAUUAGUGACAGCUCUAACCCUUGGUACUCCUUUCUGUAGUAUGGGGCUGACCUCCAUUUUGCAGAGUUGUGGAGAAGAUUAGGGACAAUGUAUGAAAGUGCCUAGCUUAGUGAAUAGUUCAUAGUAAACAACCAUUAUUUUGUAGGAUAGUUUUUGUUUUUUUAUGCUUUCAUACUAUCAUCCAAAAUAUGGGUUUGCCUUUGUUCACAAUUGCGUUAUGGGUCUUCAAGUACUGUGCUUGAUGGAUAGUAAAGGCUGAUAAAAUUGGGCCUUGAAAAAGAUGACUCAUUUGGAUUGGUAAAUCAUUCAAUGGUAAUAUAGUGGGCUCAAAAAUUCUUCUUUUGUUCAGAUAUCCUAAGUAGAAAUUCUUUAGAAACUCAAGUUCCUGGGGAAUGUGAACAUUGUUAAGACAUGGUUACUAGAUUUAGGAAGCUUACAUCCUAGCAGAUUAUAUUUCUUUCACUAAUAUAUGUUGUUUUUGUGUGAUGACUGGGCUAUGAAGUAAGAAAAACCAAAAAGGCUUUCUGAGAUUAGUCAGAGGUUGUUGAAGUCAUCAUUCUGUCAAAGGGUAUGCAUGAGGGGGAACUGAGUGAGUGGGGGAAAAUUAAAAUCUGUUAACUGUUUUCAGGCAGAGUACCAGGCAAUUCCCAAUCAUUGUUUUUGUUAACCCUAAAAACUAUCCUAUGGCAUGGGUUGCAAAAUGUUGAUUUUAUGAUUGAAAAAAAUUGCUAAUCUCAAAGAGGGAAA